rnacentral:rRNA from 1 species
AGAGUUUGAUCAUGGCUCAGGAUGAACGCUAGCUACAGGCUUAACACAUGCAAGUCGAGGGGAAACGACAUCGAAAGCUUGCUUUUGAUGGGCGUCGACCGGCGCACGGGUGAGUAACGCGUAUCCAACCUGCCCAUCACUUGGGGAUAACCUUGCGAAAGUAAGACUAAUACCCAAUGACGUCUCUAGAAGACAUCUGAAAGAGAUUAAAGAUUUAUCGGUGAUGGAUGGGGAUGCGUCUGAUUAGCUUGUUGGCGGGGUAACGGCCACCAAGGCGACGAUCAGUAGGGGUUCUGAGAGGAAGGUCCCCCANAUUGGAACUGAGACCACGGGUCCAAACUCCUACGGGAGGCA